GAGUUUGAUCGUGGCUCAGGACGAACGCUGGCGGCGUGCUUAACACAUGCAAGUCGAGCGGUAAGGCCUUUCGGGUACGACGAGCGGCGAACGGGUGGAGUAACACGUGGGUGAUCUGCCCUGCACUUCGGGAUAAGCCUGGGGAAACUGGAUCUAAUACCGGAUAUGACCUCCUAUCGCAUGGUGGGUGGUGGAAAGAUUUAUCGGUGCAGGAUGGGCCCGCGGCCUAUCAGCUUGUUGGUGGGGUAAUGGCCUACCAAGGCGACGACGGGUAGCCGACCUGAGAGGGUGACCGGCCACACUGGGACUGAGACACGGCCCAGACUCCUACGGGAGGCAGCAGUGGGGAAUAUUGCACAAUGGGCGAAAGCCUGAUGCAGCGACGCCGCGUGAGGGAUGACGGCC
rnacentral:rRNA from 1 species